AGUGAACGCUGGCGGCAGGCCUAACACAUGCAAGUCGAACGGCAGCACAGGAAGAGCUUGCUCUUACGGGUGGCGAGUGGCGGACGGGUGAGGAAUACAUCGGAUACCUCUUUUUCGGGGGGGAUAACGUAGGGAAACUUAUGCUAACACCGCAUAUGUCCUACGGGUGAGUGCAGGGGUUCUUGGCACCUUUCGCGAUUGUAAGAGCCGAUGUCGGAUUAGCUAGUUGGCAGGGUAAAGGCCCACCAUGGCGACGCUCCGUAGCUGAUCUGAGAGGAUGAUCAGCCACACUGGAACUAGGACACGGCCCAAACCCCGAGGGGAGGCACCGGUGGGAAACAUUGGACAGGGGGCGAAAGCCUAAUCCGGCCAUACCGCGUGGGUGAGAAAGGCCUUCGAGUUGUAAAGCCUUUUUGUUGGGAAAGAAAAACGGCAGGUUAAUACCGCGCUGUUCGAACGUAACCAAAAAAAAAGGCACGGCUAAACUCGUG
rnacentral:rRNA from 1 species